rnacentral:rRNA from 1 species
UACGUAGGGCGCAAGCGUUGUCCGGAAUUAUUGGGCGUAAAGAGCUCGUAGGCGGUUUGUCGCGUCUGUCGUGAAAGCCCACGGCUUAACCGUGGGUCUGCGGUGGAUACGGGCAGACUAGAGGCAGGUAGGGGAGAAUGGAAUUCCCGGUGUAGCGGUGAAAUGCGCAGAUAUCGGGAGGAACACCGGUGGCGAAGGCGGGUCUCUGGGCCGUAACUGACGCUGAGGAGCGAAGGCCAGGGGAGCAAACGGGG